rfam:Schistosoma rodhaini strain Burundi genome assembly, scaffold: SROB_scaffold0020320
AUCCAGCUGACGAGUCAUGAAUAGGACGAUACGCGCGUCAAACUGGAU